rnacentral:rRNA from 1 species
GACGAACGCUGGCGGCGUGCCUAAUACAUGCAAGUCGAACGAGAGCGACCGGUGCUUGCCCUGGUCAAUCUAGUGGCGAACGGGUGAGUAACACGUGGGUAACCUGCCCAUCAGAGGGGGAUAACAUCCGGAAACGGAUGCUAAAACCGCAUAGGUCUUCGAGCCGCAUGGCUUGAAGAGGAAAAGAGGCGCAAGCUUCUGCUGAUGGAUGGACCCGCGGUGCAUUAGCUAGUUGGUGAGGUAACGGCUCACCAAGGCCGUGAUGCAUAGCCGACCUGAGAGGGUGAUCGGCCACAUUGGGACUGAGACACGGCCCAAACUCCUACGGGAGGCAGCAGUAGGGAAUCUUCCGCAAUGGACGCAAGUCUGACGGAGCAACGCCGCGUGAGUGAAGAAGGUUUUCGGAUCGUAAAACUCUGUUGUUAGAGAAGAACAAGUGCUAGAGUAACUGUUAGCUCCUUGACGGUAUCUAACCAGAAAGCCACGGCUAACUACGUG